UUUGUUUAAACAUUAAGUUUUCAACUCCUCUGGGUAAAUAACAAGGGAUAUGAAUGCUGGAUCAUAUGAUUAGAGUGUG